rnacentral:rRNA from 1 species
GCCCAGACUCCUACGGGAGGCAGCAGUGGGGAAUAUUGCACAAUGGGGGAAACCCUGAUGCAGCGACGCCGCGUGAGCGAAGAAGUAUUUCGGUAUGUAAAGCUCUAUCAGCAGGGAAGAAAAAAAUGACGGUACCUGAGUAAGAAGCACCGGCUAAAUACGUGCCAGCAGCCGCGGUAAUACGUAUGGUGCAAGCGUUAUCCGGAUUUACUGGGUGUAAAGGGGGCGCAGACGGCGAUGCAAGCCAGGAGUGAAAGCCCGGGGCCCAACCCCGGGACUGCUCUUGGAACUGCGUGGCUGGAGUGCAGGAGGGGCAGGCGGAAUUCCUGGUGUAGCGGUGAAAUGCGUAGAUAUCAGGAGGAACACCGGUGGCGAAGGCGGCUUUCUGGCUCAUAACUGACGCUGAGGCGCGAAAGCGUGGGGAGCAAACAGGAUUAGAUACCCUAGUAU